GAAUAGUCCAGUGGGCAUGAUCCCCAGGGUACUGAGCCAGGAAUGUAUUCGACUAUGAGCAAUGGUGAACUGAGAGCCAGUGGCUUAGACACAUAAAGAUUUUAUUUUCUCACUAAAAGAGCAGAGACAGUGAGUCAUGCGGAGAGGAGAGGCAGCAGUCCCAUCGCAAUCAUGAACAUCAUUGCUUGAGGAGAGAGGGCCUGGGCUGAGGCUGGGCAGGACCCAAAUCAGAGGAGGACUAGGGAUCCUUGGAGAGGGCUGAAGAGGAGAAGAAGGAG
rnacentral:lncRNA from 13 species